GGUGCAGCCUAUCGGGCUAGAAGGUUUGAACCUUUCUUUGCGGGGGGGUGGAGUUCUCCAUGCACUU